rnacentral:rRNA from 1 species
UGCGUAGGCGGACCUAUAAGUCAGAAGUGAAAUCUUGCCGCUUAACGGUAAAACUGCUUUUGAAACUGUAGGUCUUGAAUUUAGGAGAGGUAGGCGGAAUGAGUAAUGUAGCGGUGAAAUGCAUAGAUAUUACUCAGAACACCAAUUGCGAAGGCAGCUUACUAUACUAACAUUGACGCUGAGGCACGAAAGCGUGGGUAUCGAACAGGAUUAGAUACCCUGGUAGUCC